UACAGAGGUCCCGAGCGUUGUUCGGAUUCACUGGGCGUAAAGGGUGCGUAGGCGGUCGGGUAAGUCUGAUGUGAAAUCUCACAGCUUAACUGUGAAACUGCAUUGGAUACUAUUCGGCUUGAGAGUUGGAGGGGGGACUGGAAUUCUUGGUGUAGCAGUGAAAUGCGUAGAUAUCAAGAGGAACGCCAGUGGCGAAGGCGAGUCCCUGGACAGGUCCUGACGCUGAGGCACGAAAGCUAGGGGAGCAAACAGG
rnacentral:rRNA from 1 species